UAGGGAAUCUUCCGCAAUGGACGAAAGUCUGACGGAGCAACGCCGCGUGAGUGAAGAAGGAUUUCGGUUCGUAAAACUCUGUUGUUAGGGAAGAAAAAAUGUAUAGUAACUAUAUACAAAAGAGACGGUACCUAACCAGAAAGCCACGGCUAACUACGUGCCAGCAGCCGCGGUAAUACGUAGGGGGCUAGCGUUGUCCGGAAUCACUGGGCGUAAAGGGUUCGCAGGCGGAAAUGCAAGUCAGGUGUAAAAGGCAGUAGCUUAACUACUGUAAGCAUUUGAAACUGCAUAUCUUGAGAAGAGUAGAGGUAAGUGGGAUUUUUAGUGUAGCGGUGAAAUGCGUAGAUAUUAAAAAGAAUACCGGUGGCGAGGGCGACUUACUGGGCUCAUUCUGACGCUGAGGAACGAAAGCGUGGGUAGCAAACAGG
rnacentral:rRNA from 1 species